rnacentral:rRNA from 1 species
CUGACGAGUGGCGGACGGGUGAGUAAUGCUUGGGAAUCUGGCUUAUGGAGGGGGAUAACGACGGGAAACUGUCGCUAAUACCGCGUAUUAUCGGAAGAUGAAAGUGCGGGACUGAGAGGCCGCAUGCCAUAGGAUGAGCCCAAGUGGGAUUAGGUAGUUGGUGGGGUAAAUGCCUACCAAGCCUGCGAUCUCUAGCUGGUCUGAGAGGAUGACCAGCCACACUGGAACUGAGACACGGUCCAGACUCCUACGGGAGGCAGCAGUGGGGAAUAUUGCGCAAUGGGGGGAACCCUGACGCAGCCAUGCCGCGUGAAUGAAGAAGGCCUUCGGGUUGUAAAGUUCUUUCGGUAUUGAGGAAGGUUGAUGUGUUAAUAGUACAUCAAAUUGACGUUAAAUACAGAAGAAGCACCGGCUAACUCCGUGCCAGCAGCCGCGGUAAUACGGAGGGUGCGAGCGUUAAUCGGAAUAACUGGGCGUAAAGGGCACGCAGGCGGUUAUUUAAGUGAGGUGUGAAAGCCCUGGGCUUAACCUAGGAAUUGCAUUUCAGACUGGGUAACUAGAGUACUUUAGGGAGGGGUAGAAUUCCACGUGUAGCGGU